rnacentral:tRNA from 1 species
AAGUUAUGCCUAAGAACCUUCAAAGUUCUAAAUAAAGAUAACUUCUCUUUAAGCCUUA